UUUGCAAAGUUUCCUCAACCAGAAUUCACGACAGACGUCGCCUGCAAAAUGACUGGCAGGGCCAAACGGAAACAUCUCGGGAUUGCACGUGCUUUGCCAUGGCCUAGGGGCUCUGUGCGGUGCCAGGCAGAGAAGGGCAAUGGCAAUAGUCUGAAAAAAAAACCAUGUCUGAAUGAAAUAAGCUUAUGCUUAAACCUGGAAAGAAGGGAUGCUUACUGGAAGAAGUGCUUGGAGGAAUUGGAAGCAUCUAUUACUGAACCCUCCAUUGACAGAAUUUGCCCUAUGGUUAUCAAAAUGGGGCAAAGUCUGUGUCCUGCUAGAGAGUUAUCUCCUCAGACACAUACACAGCAACAGUGGAAAGAAAUAUCUGUUUUCACAUUUGGCUAGCCUGAAGACCGUGCCCCUUCCUCUUAGCUGUGUGUCAUUCCACAUCUAUCCAAGCCUUUGUUACCUCUAGGCAAAGCUAACACAAAGCAUUCUUCUUAGCAGUGGGAGCAAAGGCCCAAAGUAACUUUUGCUCUGAACAACAUUAAGCAGACAGUCUUAAAAGGAAGGAGAAAUUAUUGUGAUAGGCAUUAUAAAAAUAAUCAGAAUAUUUAAGUAUACAAAUUGGCAAGAGCAUAUUGCAUUAGUACUCCAGACUCUCCCUCCAUCUCCAGACCAGCUUCAAAGUCAUCAUCUUUAAUGUGGGUUAACAUGUUAAUAAGUUAGCUAUCUAUAGAAUUCUCCUCCUGCUUCAUUCUGAGAAUGCUAUGAUCAACAGGGACCCAGUGAUUGACACAGUCCAUUCUUAGAUGCAUGGGAGAUUAGGGCAUAACCAUCACACAAGUUUCUUGGCACUGUAGCUCAUGCAGAGUGCAAGUCUUCUCAUGGUCAGAGUAUGAUACCAGACUCUCCUUUUUGUAAAAGCCUUCUGUCAAUAAAGGAAGCUGCUAAACAAA